CUGCCUUUUGCUAUAUAAAGCCCCGUAGACAGAGUGAAGGCAAUCAAACCUACUGCAAGUUAAAGAUGAAUAAUGUUUCUCCAGCAACAGGUGCAGAACAAAUUGGAAGCCGAAGGUCUCUGCCAAAGAGGGGACAGAUAAAGUCGAGGAUAGCAACUAAUGCUCUGCAUUCUAUUGUCUACGUGCUGUCAAGGGCCGCCUCCAAUCAUCAUCAGUCUACUGGGAAAGUUAUUCGUCGAGGAGAUUGAAACGAGCACAUGUUGUUCUGUAAAUAACAUGCAAUAGUAGUAGUUUUUUUCUUGUUUUUCCAUUUUUUCUCCCUGUACUUUCACUUGAUCAUUAUUAUUUGAAAUAGUGAUUAAAGACCGAGGAUAGUUUUAUAAAAUGGAUCUAAUUUCUCGCCUUC
rnacentral:lncRNA from 1 species